rnacentral:misc_RNA from 1 species
GGUUAAAAAAAAAUAUGUGCACGACGCGCGCGCAAGUCCAAUAGUAGGCUGAGGAGCACGGUCUUGAAGAAUUCCAUAUUCCUUGUAAUCUCUGGUAAUCCGUUCAUUAUGAAAUCGUGAAUAAAUUCGUUAUCAUCAACACAGAUUUUUAAAUCGAUGGAAUCACAGAAAGUUCAAAGCCACAACUAAAGCGAAAAAAAGAAGCAUUAGCCCACAGCUUCGGCUUUUUCACAUUGGCUUUUUCUGCUUUUAGUUUCUGUAAACUAAUGCCCUUCCCAUCGCCAUCGUCACUUCAGCACUUAUCAUCAUCACCAUGUUCCUAAUCGGGACAUAUUCCCAGACCUAACUCUUACCAAGGCGAGAAUUAUGAAAUGGCCGAUCAAUCCAACCCGGAUCCAGAAAAGGCAGAAUAUAAGGGAGUGGGGAGACGGUAUUGGAAAAGCUCAAAAGCGGAGCAUUAAGUGCAACUUCAAGCUAAUUCUGUAAACCCAAACAACCACAGCAACAAAUAGAUGAUGGAUAACCGCUACAAUUACAAUAACGGCAAUCCUUACCUCCAGAAUGCACCGGUUCCUGCUUCUAAUGGAUACGGGCCAUAUGGGAGACGGCCGAUGAGUGGGAUAUGCGAUGUGUUGAAUCGAUGUGGGAAAAGGGUUGAAGAUGUCACUAGGAAAGCAGAGGUCUACGCUGAUAACGUCUGGCACCAUCUCAAAGUUAGUUCCAGUUUCACAGAUGCAGCAAUGGCAAGGAUUGCUCAAGGGACAAAGGUUCUCGCUGAAGGAGGGCAUGAUAAAGUAUUCCAGCAGACAUUUGGGAGCUUGCCUGGAGAGAAGCUCGUGAAGGCCUAUGUUUGCUAUCUGUCAACAAUCUCUGGCCCUGUGAUUGGGACGCUUUAUAUAUCCACUAAAAGACUGGCCUUUUGUAGUGAUAAUCCCGUCUGCUACUAUUCUCACACUGGACAGCAGCAAUGGAUGUAUUACAAGGUGGUGGUGCAGCUGGAUAAGUUGAGAACGGUAAAUCCUUCUUCAAGCAGAAUGAACCCUUCUGAAAAAUACAUCCAAAUUGUGACAACAGAUGAUCAUGACUUCUGGUUUAUGGGAUUUAUAUCAUAUGACAAAGCACUCAAGCAAUUAACUGAGGCUUCACAGCGCCCUCGUGACUCUUCUGGGGAAUUCCUUGUCAAUGUGGAAUAAGAUACGAACCCUCGUUUUCUUCCUCUCCCUAUUGCUGAUGGUAAUGACGGAAGAAUAUUUAAGGACGUACUGUGACAUAAGGCUGCUCAAGGAUGUAGUAUGAUAUUCAAAACUUACUGUAAUGAUGUAGGCGCGUGGUUGUCCAUGUUGAGUUUUAAUGUUUUAAUCCAUCAAUGAGUUGGGAAUGCUUAUGUGAUGGUGAUUUCACGAUCCUCCUUUCUCCCCCACCUCCUAGUACAGAAUCUCUCGUUCUAAGAGAGAUUAUGGAACG